UAAACCUAAUCCAGAUGUUGCU
rnacentral:siRNA from 1 species